AGUUCAGAGUAGACUUGAAUUCCUGGGCUCAGGACUGUCUACAAGAGAGAAGCUCCCCACGUGGUUCCGUAGACAGAGCCACACUCUGUUGGAUGUUGAUCCCAGCUCACCGCAGCCUUGAACUCCUGGGCUCAAGCGAUCCUUCCACCUCAGUCUCCCACGUAGCUGGGACUACAGCUUCAGAAGGGAGGAAAACACAGAAGACGAGGGCUGAAAGAUGGCAUUGGACUUGGCACAGGGAUGGUCAGGAGGUCCUGAGUCACUUUGAGAAGGUACAAAGGAAGCCAGAUUGAGCCAGCUUGAAGAGUCAGGGAGAGGGAGGGGUGGAGAUGGCUGUGGAAAAUGUUUGACUCUGAAAACUUGGGGUCUAGAAGGGAGGUGUUUGGGUUGCAUCUUUAGUAUGAGCUACUUGGUUAUAUUUAAAGCCUGAAAAUGAGUUAGUAGAGAAACUUUGAAAAUUAAGAGACAGAGAGCACGUGGAUGCUGCUAGACAUUGGUCCCUGAGGAGUCAAGAGGGUGAUUCAGAGGAUGGAGAGGUGCUGUUUCCUGGGAAUGGGGGUGUCCUCUCAUCACCACAGCACCAUUGUCAGCUUACAAAACCCGUCUAGAUGCUGCACCCCAGUAUUUCCAGUCCCCCCAGUAAUGUCUUUUAUAUUAUUUUCCCUCCAGCACAGGAUGUGGUCUGGGAUCAGGUGUUGCAUCUGCUUGUUGUGUGUCUGUCAUCUCUGUCAAUCAGGAACAUUUUCCACAGCCUUUCUGUCACUUUCAUGACAUUGAUGUUUUGAAGAACAGUCUCUUUUAAUAAGUAGAUGUUUCCCCCUUUGGGG
rnacentral:lncRNA from 1 species